rnacentral:rRNA from 1 species
UACGUAGGGCGCAAGCGUUGUCCGGAAUUAUUGGGCGUAAAGAGCUCGUAGGCGGCUUGUCACGUCGGGUGUGAAAGCCCGGGGCUUAACCCCGGGUCUGCAUUCGAUACGGGCAGGCUAGAGUGUGGUAGGGGAGAUCGGAAUUCCUGGUGUAGCGGUGAAAUGCGCAGAUGUCAGGAGGAACACCGGUGGCGAAGGCGGGUCUCUGGGCCGUAACUGACGCUGAGGAGCGAAAGCAUGGGGAGCGAACAGG